AUAUGUAGCUCAAUCGAUCGGAGCAUCAACUUUCUAAGAAGAGGUCACGAGUUCAAAUCCCACAU
rnacentral:tRNA from 14 species